rnacentral:rRNA from 1 species
ACGGGUGAGUAAUGCAUAGGAAUCUACCUAGUAGUAUGGGAUAGCCACUAGAAAUGGUGGGUAAUACUGUAUAAUCCCUGCGGGGGAAAGAUUUAUCGCUAUUAGAUGAGCCUAUGUUAGAUUAGCUAGUUGGUAGGGUAAAGGCCUACCAAGGCAGUGAUCUAUAGCUGGUCUGAGAGGAUGAUCAGCCACACUGGAACUGAGAUACGGUCCAGACUCCUACGGGAGGCAGCAGUGGGGAAUAUUGGACAAUGGGCGCAAGCCUGAUCCAGCUAUGCCGCGUGAGUGAGGAAGGCCUUAGGGUUGUAAAACUCUUUCAGUGGGGAAGAUAAUGACGGUACCCACAGAAGAAGUCCCGGCAAACUCCGUGCCAGCAGCCGCGGUAAUACGGAGGGGGCAAGCGUUGUUCGGAAUUAUUGGGCGUAAAGGGCAUGUAGGCGGUUCGGUAAGUUAAAGGUGAAAUGCCAGGGCUUAACCCUGGAGCUGCUUUUAAUACUGCCAGACUCGAGUCCGGGAGAGGAACGCGAAAUUUCCUAG